AAACUGAAGAGUUUGAUCCUGGCUCAGAUUGAACGCUGGCGGAAUGCUUUACACAUGCAAGUCGAACGGCAGCACGGGGGCAACCCUGGUGGCGAGUGGCGAACGGGUGAGUAAUGUAUCGGAACGUACCCCGUCGUGGGGG
rnacentral:rRNA from 1 species